rnacentral:rRNA from 1 species
UACGUAGGUGGCAAGCGUUGUCCGGAUUUACUGGGCGUAAAGGGCGUGCAGGCGGUCUGUUAAGUUUGGGGUGAAAGCUCCCGGCUCAACUGGGAGAGGUCUCUGGAUACUGGCAGACUUGAGGGAGGCAGAGGAAAGUGGAAUUCCCGGUGUAGUGGUGAUAUGCGUAGAUAUCGGGAGGAACACCAGUGGCGAAGGCGGCUUUCUGGGCCUUACCUGACGCUGAGACGCGAAAGCGUGGGGAGCGAACCGG